rnacentral:sRNA from 1 species
AGAGAUUAUUUGACCAUUGAAAUGGGAUCUAUUGCUGCACAACACAGGCUUUUAAAUGGAGGAAGAAUUCAAGCAUAGACCGGUCAACCGAUCGCCCUUCAUCAUUGUCAACAUGUCACAGGCCACAUUCAACACGUCAAUCUUCAGCUCCAUCAUAGUGUAAAGAUCGUGUGGCUAGUCCCUUAAAACACAUCAAGGAUUUCUUGCGUAUCAACUGGCUAGCGGGAAUCUUUGCUUAUUGGGUCCUAUCCUGUCCUCGGGACCUGUCGCCCUGUCUCGUCGGAGCAGUGCGCGAUGGUGUACAGCUCCAUAAAAGCCGUGGGGAGGACUUUUUCGCUAACUUCUAUCCCUGGAACUAUGGGCAAUAUCGAGGAUGUGGACCUAGAAGACAUUGAGAAACGAAUAGAACUGGGUUACUUUGCUCAAUAUGCCGAUCCGGCAGCCAACUACUCAGAGACGCAUAGGGCAGUCGGACUGCACCUGUCUGGACUCCAAUUUGAAGACGAACAGAUCAGCUGGCGCAGAAUCCACUUCGUACAAGAAAAGUUUGGAAGGACUACCCCAACAACCCAUACACGCUCGCUGUGCGCACGCUUCAUUAUCUAUCGCUUAGAAGCCCUGCAGAUUUUCAACUUAUAUCUUUUUUGUUAUUGUUAUAGUAGAUAGCUGUAAGAUUUUGAUACUAUCAAUCUCCAUGAUGUGUAUUUACUAUUAUGUACAUACCAUAAAUAUAUACAUAUGUACAUAUAAGCUCAUUGUUAUAAAUUAGCCUAUUCUUAUAUGCGUAAUUAUAUUACAUAUUUAUAGAAAAACAAA